GACAGAGGGUGCAAACGUUGCUCGGAAUCACUGGGCGUAAAGCGUGCGCAGGCGGUUUUGUAAGCCAGAUGUGAAAGCCCCGGGCUUAACCUGGGAAUGGCAUUUGGGACUGCAAGGCUGGAGUGCGGCAGAGGAGACUGGAAUUCCUGGUGUAGCAGUGAAAUGCGUAGAUAUCAGGAGGAAUACCGAUGGCGAAGGCAGGUCUCUGGGCUGACACUGACGCUCAUGCACGAAAGCGUGGGGAGCAAACAGG
rnacentral:rRNA from 1 species